CUGACAUCUUGAGUGCAGCCUGUGAGACCCUGAGCAGAGGUUCAGCAGUCCCCUCCCCGGACUCCUGCCACACAGAAGCCAUGAGGCAUCCCCAUCACACACUAGGCUUGGUGACUGUACUUGAAGGACUCACAGGACUCAGGCUGCCAUCAUACUAGCGGCUGAGAUUUACUACGGUGAAAAGAUGUGACGCAGAAUUAGCAACGGGAAAAUGCAUUUGGGGUGAGGGCCAGAGGAAACCAGGUGACAGAACCAAGGACACACCUUGUUAACGAUGCCCUCAAGGUUGUGAGGAGAAAGAGAACCGGGUGAAGCAACGCUGGGAAUUCAACGCAUCAAUUACCUUCCCAGGUAACAGGAGCUACUUGAGCUCCUAAGAGUUGAUCUUCAGCUGCUGUCAUGGAAAAUACUGGGGGUCAACUAGACAUCAAAGAUGAGAGGCCAGGCCUCCAGCACAACUUUCUGUGUAAGCCAAAUAGUGACUUUCUCCAAGAAAUCCUUUUGUCAA
rnacentral:antisense_RNA from 1 species